rnacentral:ncRNA from 1 species
CAAGUUCCUAUCAAUCAAAUUCUGAAUACCAGAAAAAGGGCUACACUCUCUGACUCAUUUAUUUACAGUAAAACAGAUACGAACAAACCCAAACCCACAGCCAAUUGUUAGAUUCACAUCACACCCAACAUACAAAUGGUCAAAAAAAAAGAGGAUUCUCUCAAAAUUUCAAGGUGAGAAGAAGUGAAAAUGUAUAUGUUAAACUAGAGAAGCCUCCUCCUGAAAUUUCUGGUCGUUGAUUGAUAAAUACGAACGAGAAGACCGACACCAAUCCCAAGACCAACACAGACACCAAGUCCUAU